AGCGAGAUGGCGCAGCUGGUAGCGCGCUGGGCUCAUAUGCGUCACGUGAUCUGACCAUAUGAAACCCAGAGGUCGUCGGAUCGAAACCGACUCUCGCUA